rnacentral:rRNA from 1 species
AUUGAACGCUGGCGGCAGGCCUAACACAUGCAAGUCGAACGAGUGGCGGACGGGUGAGUAAUGUCUGGGAAACUGCCUGAUGGAGGGGGAUAACUACUGGAAACGGUAGCUAAUACAGCCUACCAUCGGAUGUGCCCAGAUGGGAUUAGCUAGUAGGUGGGGUAAAGGCUCACCUAGGCGACGAUCCCUAGCUGGUCGGAGAGGAUGACCAGGCACAGUGGAAAUGCGACACGGUCCAGACUCCUACGGGAGGCACCAGUGGGGAAUAUGGCGCAAUGAGCGGAAGGCUGAUGCAGCCAUGCCGCGUGUAUGAAGAAGGGCUUCGGGGUGUAAAGGACUUUCAGCGGGGAGGCGUUACCCGCAGAAGAAGCACCGGCUAACUCCGUGUCAGCAGCCGCGGUAAUUC